rnacentral:lncRNA from 1 species
UCUCCAUGUUCAUACUAACACUGAGUUUUAUUUAUUUUUAUUUUUAUUAUUUGAAAACAAAACAUUUAUUCAUUUACUUGACUGCUGAAUUUCAUGAGAAGGGAUUGUUCAGGGAGGGUCAUUGGGCUGAAAACCCGGACAGGAGCUGGUGCGACCGCUGUUCAAAUCUGAGAGUGGUGGAGAUGGAGCCCUGGGGAGGAGACGUUGCUGCCUUUUAAGUCUGAGAGUCGUUGAGCUGGAGGUCCACAGAGGAGCCAGUGCUGCCACUGAUGUCUUAGGUUGUGGAGCUGAAGACCAAUGAAGGAGCUGGUGUUGCUGUUCUUCUGUUAGGGUCAUGGAGCUGGAGAUCCAGCGGGGAGAGGUGUUCUAAUUGGAGCGUCGUGCAACUGGAGACCCGGGAGGAGCUGAUGUUGUUUUAAUUGGAGGGUCAUGGAGCCGAAGACCUGGGGAGGAGCUGGUAUUUUUCUAGUUUGAGGGUCUUGCAGCUGAAGACCUGGGAAGGAGCUGGUGUUUUUUGUUUGAGGGUUGUGCAGCUGCAGACCCUGGGAGUAGCUGGUGAAUUUCUAGUAUGAGUGUCUUGCAGCUGAAGACCCGGAGAGGAGCUGGUGUUCUAUUUUGAGGGUCGUGCAGCUGAAGACUCAGGGAGGAGCUGAUGUUCUAGUUUGAGGGUCAUUCAGCUGGAGACCCAGAGAGCAGCUGGUGUUGUUCUAGUUUGAGGUUUGUGCAGCUGGAGACCUGGGGAGGAGCAGGUGUUUUUCAGUUUGAGGAUCAUGCAGCUGUAGAACCCGGGAGGAGCUGGCGUUUUUCUCGUAUUGACUUGUUGUUCUAGUUUGAGGUUCAUGCAGCUGGAGACCUGGGGAAGAGCGGGUGUUUUUCAGUUUGAGGGUCAUGCAGCUGUAGAACCCGGGAGGAGCUGGCGUUUUUCUAGUAUGAGUGUCCUGCAGCUGAAGACCCGGAGAGGAGCUGUUGUACUAGUUUGAGGUUCAUGCAGCUGGAGACCGGCAGAUGAGCUGGUGUUUCUUUAGUUUGAGAGUUGUGCAGCCGUAGAACCUGGGUGGAGUGGAUGUUGUUCUAGUUUGGGGGUCUUGCAGCUGGAGACCCAGAGAGGAGCUGGUGCUGUUCUAGUAUGAGGUUCGUGCAGCUAGAGACCUGGGAAGGAGCAGGAGUUUUUUUUAGUUUGAGGGAUGUGCAGCUGUAGAACCUGGAGGACCUGGCGUUUUUUAAUUUGAGUGUCCUGCAGCUGGAGAACCGGAAAGGAGUUGAUGUUCUAAUUUGAGGGUCGUGCAGCUGCAGACUCGGGGAGGAGCUGAUGUGGUAGUUUGAGGGCCCUGCAGCUGGAGACCCAGAGAGGAGCUGAUGUUCUAGUUUGAGGGUCGUGCAGCUGCAGACUCGGGGAGGAGCUGAUGUGGUAGUUUGAGGGCCCUGCAGCUGGAGACCCAGAGAGGAGCUGAUGUUCUAGUUUGAGGGUCGUGCAGCUGAAGACUCGGGGAGGAACUGAUGUUGUUCUCAUUUAAGGGUCUCUCAGCUGGAGACCUGGAGAGGAGCUGAUGUUGUUCCAGUUUGAGGGUCAUGGAGCUGGAGAGCCAGAGAGGAGCUGGUGUUGUUCUAAUUUGAGGUUCAUGCAGCUGGAGACCCAGAGAGGAGCUGGUGUUUCUUUAGUUUGAGGGUCGUGCAGCUGUAGAACCCAGGAGGAGCUGGUGUUUUUCUAGUAUGAGUGUCCUGCUGCUGGAAACCUGGAGAGGAGCUGAUGUUGUAGUUUGAGGUUCGUGCAGCUGGAGACCCAGAGAGGAGCUGGUGUUUCUUUAGUUAGAGGGUUGUGCAGCUGUAGAACCCAGGAGGAGCUGGCGUUUUUCUAGUAUGAGUGUUGUGCAGCUGGAGACCCGGAGAGGAGCUGAUGUUCUAGUUUGAGGGUCAUCCAGCUGGACACCUGGAGAGGAGCUGAUGUUCUCGUUUGAGGGUCAUGGAGCUGGAGACCCAGAGAGGAGCUGGUGUUGUUCUAGUUGGAGGUUCGUGCAGCUGGAGACCCAGAGAGGAGCUGGUGUUUCAUUAGUUUGAGGGUCACGCAGCUGUAGAACCCGGGAGGAGCUGGUGUUUUUCUAGUAUAAGUGUCCUGCAGCUGGAGACCUGGAAAGGAGCUGAUGUUCUAUUUUGGGGGUUAUGCAGCUUGAGACCCGGGGAGGAGAUGAUGUUGUUCUGUUUUAAGGGUCAUGGAGCUGGAGACCAAGGGGGGAGCUGGUGUUAUUCUUGUUUGAGGGUCAUGGAGCUGGAUACCCAGAGAGGAGUUGGUGGUGUUCUAGUUUGAGGUUAGUUCAGCUGAAGCCCUAGGCAGGAGAGGGUGUUUUUUAGUUUCAGAGUCAUGUAGCUGUAGAACUUGGGAGGAGCUGGAGUUUUUCUAGUCUGAGUGUCGUGCAGCUGGAGACUCGGAGAGGAGCUGAUGUUCUAGUUUGAGGGUCCUGAAGCUGGAGACUCAGGUAGGAGCUGAUGUUUUUCUGAUCAGAGUGUAGUGGAGCUGGACACCCAGGGAGAAGCUAGCGUUAUUCUAGUUUGAGGUUCCUUGAGCUGGAAACCCAGGGAGGAGCUUAUGUUGUUCUAGUUUGAGGGUCUUGCAGGUUGAGACCUGGGGAGGAGCUGGUGUUUUUCUAGUCUGAGGUUCGUUCAGCUGUAGACCCUGUGAGGAACAGGUGUUUUUUUUACUUGGAGGGUCAUGCAGCUGUAGAACCCGGAGGAGCUGGCGUCUUUCUAGUGUGAGGGUCGUGCAGCUGGAGACCCGGAGAGGAGCUGGUGUUCUAGUUUGAGAGUUGUGCAUCUGAAGACUCGGGGACAAGCUGAUGUUCUAGUUUGACGGUCAUGCAGCUGGACACCUUGGGAGGAGCUGAUGUUCUAGUUUGAGGGUCAUGCAGCUGAAGACUUGGGGAGGAGCUGAUGUUCUAGUUUGAUGGUCGUGCAGCUGGAGACCUGGGAAGGAGCUGAUGUUAUUCUAGUUUGAGGGUCAUGGAGCUGGAGACCCUGGGAGGAGCUGAUGUUUUUCUAGUUUGAGGCUCCUGUAUCUGGAGACUCAGGUAGGAGCCGAUGUUUUUCUGAUCAGAGGGUCUUGGUGCUGGAGACACAGGGAGGAGCUGAUGUUUUCCUAGUUCGAGGGUCGUGGAACUGGAGACCUGGGGAGGAGCUGAUGUUUUUCUGAUCAGAGGGUCAUGGAGCUGGAGAUACAAGGAGGAGCUGAUGUUUUCCUACUUCAAGGGUCAUGGAGCUGGAGACCCAGGGAGAAGCUGGUGCUGCUCUUGUUUAAGUCUGAAGGUCAUAGAGCUGGAGACCCAGGGAGAAGCUGGUGCUGCUCUUGUUUAAGUCUGAGGGUCAUGGAGCUGGAGAUCCAAGGAGGAGCUGAUGUUGUUUUCAUUUGAAGGUCGUGGAUCUGCAGACCUGGAGAGGAGCUGACACUGUUCCAGCUUGAGGGUUGUAGAGCUGGAGACCUGAGGAGGAGCUGAUGCGGCUCUAGUCUGAGGGCCAUGGAGCUGGAGAUCCGGGGAGGAGCUAGUGUUUCUCCAGUGAGAAGUUUGUGGAGCUGGAGACCCAGGGGGGAGCUGGUGUCCCUCCAGGUUGAGGGUUGUGCAGCUGACCCUCAAACGACCUCAAACUAGAAAAUCACUCCUACCCCUGGAUUUCCAGCUCCUCCACCCUCAAACUAGAACAACACUGCCCCCACCCCCGCACCGUAUCUCCAGCUCCAUGACCCCUAAACCAAAAAAACACCAGCUCCUCCCUGGUUGUCCAGCCCCAUGACCCUCAAACCAGAAAAACACAGCCCUUCCCUGGGUGUCCAGCUCCAUGAUGCUCAAACCAGACCAAAACCAGCUCCUUCCCGGGUGUCCAGCUGCAGGACCCUCAAACAUUGUCCGCUGGUGAUUUUUCUGGUCUUGUAGAAUAAAUCUGUUUGUACAUGCUCACUUUUCUGAUACUUCUGUCUGCUUUCUUAAUUGCUGGAGCAGUUCUGACAUAUCUACCUCAUUUACUUGGUGUUUCCAAGCUUCAAGGAAUAAUUAUUGAAACAUAUUAGACCUAUCUCCAGCAUUCUUAAGGCAUUAUUCAAUUCUAAAUGAUGAGUGAGUGGCCCUAUGUCAGCAAUUUUCUACCGGCCUUUACUUCAUCUUUUCUGGUCCCACAUCCUCAAGAUCAAUUGCCUAGCAUGUUCUACAGAUUUCUGCUGGUACAUAUUAGCCAGGACCUAGAAUUCUUUUAGUGUAUAAUUUCCCUCCCAUAGCAGGAACUAUACUUUACCUGAGCUGUGGUGAGACUUGAAUUUCCUUAUUGGGCUAGAAGCUGUGAGCAGUGGUGGAGACACCUUAAAGGAGGCCAAGAAUCAUUUGGCAGGGCCUUAACUUCAGGCUUAAGGACUUCUUAAAACCGAAAAGACACAAAUACUCUCAUUUCACAGAAGAAGCUUCUGAGGUCAGUGAAACUGCAAUGUUUUGACAAUU